AGUUUGAAGGAAGCCGUACGUUAAACAGCAAGAAAUGCAUCUAACGCUUGCAUUUACCCACUGAAGCCCAGAGUUUUGCAUCACUAGGCAGAAAGAACAAAUUGACCUCUUCACAGAAGUGGUGCACUGAAGAUGUUUAAUGAAUUGCUUCAGAAACAGAAUCAGUUCUACAGUGAACACAGGUAUCUCAGGGAGAAAAAAGGCACAUAAAAGCCCUGUGAAAACUGCUGACAGCACUAGCUAUGUGAGAGACAAUCAAGGUACUUAACGUUUUAAAACACAUGCCUUGCAUAAUAACCAACACUGCAGAAUCCUCUGUCUCUCUUCCAGGCACUGAAUGAAGAGAAGCAUUGCCACACUAGGAUUGUAAAAGAUAUCCUUAAAGCUUCUUGCAUAAAUGCACGUGUUCUGAGCUGGAGAAAUGUUAACUUAUAUACCUUAUGCACCUCAGGACCGUUUCCCACCUCAGAAGCAGAGGGAAACAAGAGAAGGGGGCAUCAUGCCAUUGAUUUUCUACCAAUAUGUUUAACCUUUUGUAGCUGCUGUCAGCACUCCCAGUGUUAAUGCCAACAGCAAAUGAACUAACUGCUGGUGUGCAGAGGGCUUGCUUCAGCCAUAAGGUUUGGGAAGUCAGAGGUCCCUCUCAGCCCCGGGUUAAUUAUUUUAAAGACCAUAUCCAAGUGGUUGCGGAUGAAGGAGAGAAGGGGAAAGGGUGUCGGCAAGUUCAGGCAGCGUUUUCUGCAAGUUACAACUGGCUGCUGUGUAACUCCCCUGAGCCAUUGGUUCUGAGUCAUGUCCUAACACUCACGGCGGAGAAUAUACACAGCUCUUCUAAUGAGCAUUUCCCUUAACAAGUGCUGUGCUCCGGCUGUGGGUGGUGAGCAGCCACUGCCAGGCUUCCAGGCCUACAGAGGCGCUGGAACAGGGACAGGCAUUUUGCAAGAGUCAGUAGCUGCAAAGACUGGUAAUAGAUUGUGGAGCCCUGCAUUUCUGGGUCACUGGGUCAGGUUCAGAAGCAUAGAAAAGUCAGCUUCAUCUCUCCAGUAGUCACCUGGUGCCUGCACGAAGCGAGGCCACUGCUUCUUCCUGAGCAGCUGCUUGCUCUCACUGCAAACCCACACCAGCUCUGCCGAUGACAGCCUUCUCAGGAAAGCAUGGAAGCAAACUGACGUAUAGCUUGAACUGCUCCCUGAUGCCUGUGAAGCCUUAUUUAUAUCAGGCAGCUGAUGUGUCAUCCUCAUAGUAAAUUACAAUUGUCUUGAACUUUUGACCAAUAUACCUCCACCCUGCCCACCAGCGUAGCUGCACCAAUCACGCUUCACACAAUUCCUGCUGUUACAGCUGCUGUCUAUAAAAGGAACUUCAGCCAGUAGAAAAACAAAGUCUCUCCUUAUCCCAUACAUACACAAGACCCGCAUAUGCAUGAUUUGCAGCAAAGGAGAGCAAUGUUUGGUCCCAAACCAAGUGUAGGGCUCCCUUGCAGUAAUUUGCAGAUGGGCAAGAGCCAGGUGCUUCCAGCAGCACCCAGGUGGUGCCCAACACCCAGUCCCAGUGCCUGCUCCCCGCUAAUAUGGCAGCAGGUACCAAGUCUUAAUAUCACA
ensembl:lncRNA